rnacentral:rRNA from 1 species
GGAGCUGAGAGAAGCUUGCUUUUCUUAGCUUAGUGGCGAACGGGUGAGUAACGCGUGAGUAACCUGCCCUGGAGUGGGGGACAACAGUUGGAAACGACUGCUAAUACCGCAUAAGCCCACGGAUCCGCAUGGAUCUGCGGGAAAAGGAUUUAUUCGCUUCAGGAUGGACUCGCGUCCAAUUAGCUAGUUGGUGAGGUAACGGCCCACCAAGACGACGAUUGGUAGCCGGACUGAGAGGUUGAACGGCCACAUUGGGACUGAGACACGGCCCAGACUCCUACGGGAGGCAGCAGUGGGGGAUAUUGCACAAUGGGGGAAACCCUGAUGCAGCGACGCCGCGUGGAGGAAGAAGGUUUUCGGAUUGUAAACUCCUGUCGUUAGGGACGAUAAUGACGGUACCUAACAAGAAAGCACCGGCUAACUACGUGCCAGCAGCCGCGGUAAAACGUAGGGUGCAAGCGUUGUCCGGAAUUACUGGGUGUAAAGGGAGCGCAGGCGGACCGGCAAGUUGGAAGUGAAAACUAUGGGCUCAACCCAUAAAUUGCUUUCAAAACUGCUGGCCUUGAGUAGUGCAGAGGUAGGUGGAAUUCCCGGUGUAGCGGUGGAAU